rnacentral:rRNA from 1 species
UUAAAUUGAAGAGUUUGAUCAUGGCUCAGAUUGAACGCUGGCGGCAGGCCUAACACAUGCAAGUCGAGCGGAAACGAGUUAUCUGAACCUUCGGGGAACGAUAAUGGCGUCGAGCGGCGGACGGGUGAGUAAUGCCUAGGAAAUUGCCCUGAUGUGGGGGAUAACC